rnacentral:rRNA from 1 species
AGAGUUUGAUCCUGGCUCAGGACGAACGCUGGCGGCGUGCUUAACACAUGCAAGUCGAACGAUGAAGCCCAGCUUGCUGGGUGGAUUAGUGGCGAACGGGUGAGUAAUACGUGAGUAACCUGCCUUUAACUCUGGGAUAAGCCUUGGAAACGGGGUCUAAUACCGGAUACGACCAACCCUCGCAUGGGGUGUUGGUGGAAAGGGAUUUUGUACUGGUUUUAGAUGGGCUCACGGCCUAUCAGCUUGUUGGUGAGGUAACGGCUCACCAAGGCGACGACGGGUAGCCGGCCUGAGAGGGUGACCGGCCACACUGGGACUGAGACACGGCCCAGACUCCUACGGGAGGCAGCAGUGGGGAAUAUUGCACAAUGGGCGCAAGCCUGAUGCAGCGACGCCGCGUGAGGGAUGACGGCCUUCGGGUUGUAAACCUCUUUCAGCAGGGGAGAAGCGAAAGUGACGGUACCUGCAGAAGAAGCGCCGGCUAACUACGUGCCAGCAGCCGCGGUAAUACGUAGGGCGCGAGCGUUGUCCGGAAUUAUUGGGCGUAAAGAGCUUGUAGGCGGCUUGUCGCGUCUGCUGUGAAAGCCCGGGGCUUAACCCCGGGUUUGCAGUGGGUACGGGCAGACUAGAGUGCAGUAGGGGAGACUGGAAUUCCUGGUGUAGCGGUGAAAUGCGCAGAUAUCAGGAGGAACACCGAUGGCGAAGGCAGGUCUCUGGGCUGUAACUGACGCUGAGAAGCGAAAGCAUGGGGAGCAAACAGGAUUAGAUACCCUGGUAGUCC